rnacentral:rRNA from 1 species
UACGUAGGGGGCAAGCGUUGUCCGGAUUCAUUGGGCGUAAAGAGCGUGUAGGCGGUCCGGUAAGUCCGCUGUGAAAGUCGGGGGCUCAACCCUCGAAUGCCGGUGGAUACUGUCGGGCUAGAGUGCGGAAGAGGCGAGUGGAAUUCCUGGUGUAGCGGUGAAAUGCGCAGAUAUCAGGAGGAACACCUAUUGCGAAGGCAGCUCGCUGGGACGUAACUGACGCUGGAGACGCGAAAGCGUGGGGGAGCAACCAGG